rnacentral:rRNA from 1 species
GAUGAACGCUGGCGGCGUGCCUAACACAUGCAAGUCGAGCGAUUUACUUCGGUAAAGAGCGGCGGACGGGUGAGUAACGCGUGGGUAACCUGCCCUGUACACACGGAUAACAUACCGAAAGGUAUGCUAAUACGAGAUAAUAUACUUUUAUCGCAUGGUAGAAGUAUCAAAGCUCCGGCGGUACAGGAUGGACCCGCGUCUGAUUAGCUAGUUGGUAAGGUAACGGCUUACCAAGGCGACGAUCAGUAGCCGACCUGAGAGGGUGAUCGGCCACAUUGGAACUGAGACACGGUCCAAACUCCUACGGGAGGCAGCAGUGGGGAAUAUUGCACAAUGGGCGAAAGCCUGAUGCAGCAACGCCGCGUGAGCGAUGAAGGCCUUCGGGUCGUAAAGCUCUGUCCUCAAGGAAGAUAAUGACGGUACUUGAGGAGGAAGCC